rnacentral:piRNA from 1 species
UAGAUGAAGACGCCAUUGAAGAGUGUGU